CCAAACACAAACAUGGCUAUAACAUAUCUGUGAUGUAGCCCUAGUGGAGAUCAAGGACAAGAGUUACAGGUAACACCCAUCCCUGAGGAAAGAGGAGAGCCAUCACUGGGCUCUCCCCACAAAGUUUUUUCUUCACAGCAGUUCUGGGAGACUUGCUUACUUUUAUAAGUCUACGUUUUAUAAGGAAGAAUAAGUGCUAUUAAAUAAGACUGUCACCAUGACUUCGGAUCGUAUCAUGAUGUCUCUUGCUGAUUCCCAGGUCAACAAGCAAACUGUGGGGUGACAAGGAUUGAGGGGGUGUCACCAGUGAAGAAGCUGAGGGCAGUAGUCAG